rnacentral:rRNA from 1 species
UACGUAGGGGGCUAGCGUUGUCCGGAAUCAUUGGGCGUAAAGAGCGUGUAGGCGGCUCGGUAAGUCCGCUGUGAAAAGUCCAGGGCUCAACCCUGGAAUGCCAGUGGAAACUGUUGAGCUAGAGUCCGGAAGAGGCGAGUGGAAUUCCUGGUGUAGCGGUGAAAUGCGCAGAUAUCAGGAGGAACACCAAUGGCGAAGGCAGCUCGCUGGGACGGUACUGACGCUGAGACGCGAAAGCGUGGGGAGCAAACAGG